rnacentral:rRNA from 1 species
AACGAACGCUGGCGGCAUGCCUAACACAUGCAAGUCGAACGAGACCUUCGGGUCUAGUGGCGCACGGGUGCGUAACGCGUGGGAACCUGCCCUUAGGUUCGGAAUAACUCCCCGAAAGGGGUGCUAAUACCGGAUAAUGUCUUCGGACCAAAGAUUUAUCGCCUUUGGAUGGGCCCGCGUUGGAUUAGCUAGUUGGUAGGGUAAAAGCCUACCAAGGCGACGAUCCAUAGCUGGUCUGAGAGGAUGAUCAGCCACACUGGGACUGAGACACGGCCCAGACUACUACGGGAGGCAGCAGUGGGGAAUAUUGGACAAUGGGCGAAAGCCUGAUCCAGCAAAGCCGCGUGAGUGAUGAAGGCCUUAGGGUUGUAAAGCUCUUUUACCCGGGAUGAUAAUGACAGUACCGGGAGAAUAAGCUCCGGCUAACUCCGUG